rnacentral:lncRNA from 1 species
AAUCUCUCUCUCUCUCUCUCUCUCUAAAAACCUUUAGUUUCUUUCUCUUAAGAUAUCUUAUUUGAUUUUAAAUCAUUUUUUAAAUGAUUUUUGCAGAUGAUUUCAGAUGCAAUCGUUUCGUUGAAAGAGAGGACAGGAUCGAGCCAAUAUGCGAUCGCGAAAUUCAUCGAAGAGAAGUAUAAGCAAUUACCGGCGAAUUUCCGCAAAGUCUUACUUGUUCAGACGAAGAAGUUUGUUGCUUCUGGAAAGCUCGUCAAAGUGAAAGCCUCUUUUAAGCUGCCUUCGGCAUCUGCCGCAGCUAAGAAACCGGCCGCCGUAGCUAAGAAGCCUGCCGCCGCGAAGCCUAAAUCUGCAACUACCACUGCCGCCUCAAAGUCCAAGCCGAAGGCGACUAAAACCGCGUCGAAACCGAAAGCCAAAGCCAAAGUUGGAACGCCUGUGAAGGCAAAGGCUAAAGUUGCGGCGAAACCGAAGGCAACUACAACUAAGGCCAAAGCUAAACCAGCGGCUAAGCCAACUAAGGUAGCGAAGACGGCGAAGAAGAGUUCGCCAGGGAAGAAAGUAAAGGUUCCAGCAAAGAAGACAGUCGCUGUCAAGAAGCCGAAGAGUGUUAAAUCUC